CAUGAUUCAUGGAAAUGUACAAGAUCAAAACAUUGUAUUUACAAAUAUAUGAAUACAUUGAAUUUUAAUUCAUAACAUCUUCUGAAGAUCAAAUCAGUUAAAUCAUUGUAGAUAAAACAGAGUAGAAUGAAUCAUCACAUCUGGGGACCAUCACCACCAGCAUGACUAGUAUCUAUGUGGACCCUACUACAGUUUAACCAGCUCAGCUAUAGACUACACCAGCAUGACUAGUAUCUAUGUGGACCCUACUACAGUUUAACCAGCUCAGCUAUAGACUACACCAGCAUGACUAUAUCUAUGUGGACCCUACUACAGUUUAACCAGCUCAGCUAUAGACUACACCAGCAUGACUAGUAUCUAUGUGGACCCUACUACAGUUUAACCAGCUCAGCAGUACCAUCGACAUAAAACCCAGGAUAGAGGGGCUGAGUGAAUGUGGUCUGGACUCUGUGGAGGAGGGUCAUUGUGUCAGAGACCCUGUAGAAGGACAGAGUACCUGCCUUGUGAUCCAGGUACACUCCUACUCUGGAGGACUGAGGGCCUGAUACUUUAGUCACAACAUUAUUUUGUCUGAAACAAUAACUACCACUAUAGCACUGUAAACUCCAGGACUUGUCAUUGAAUCCAAAUAUAUUACCUCUCUUUGAUCUGCUGAUGUCUUUAUAUGAGACUGCUGUAAUAACAUUACCAGUCCACUUCACCUCCCAGUAACAGCGUCCAGACAGACCCUCUCUACACAGAACCUGGUCAUUGUUGGUGAAUCUGUCUGGAUGGUCAGGAUAUGUUUGGACUUGGCCUGUAUAGGUCACCUUUCUGUUCCCUUCAGACAGAGAGAG
rnacentral:lncRNA from 1 species